rnacentral:rRNA from 1 species
CCGGAUCUCAGAUCAAGUA